GUUCAGCUGACGAGUCGAAAACAGGGAGAAACACACGUCCUGGAU
rnacentral:hammerhead_ribozyme from 1 species